rnacentral:rRNA from 1 species
UACGAAGGGGGCUAGCGUUGCUCGGAAUCACUGGGCGUAAAGGGUGCGUAGGCGGGUCUUUAAGUCAGGGGUGAAAUCCUGGAGCUCAACUCCAGAACUGCCUUUGAUACUGAAGAUCUUGAGUUCGGGAGAGGUGAGUGGAACUGCGAGUGUAGAGGUGAAAUUCGUAGAUAUCUGGAAGAACAACGGUGGCGAAGGCGGCUCCUUGGACUGUAACUGACGCUGAGGCGCGAAAGCGUGGGGAGCAAACAGG